UACAGAGGUCUCAAGCGCUGUUCGGAUUCAUUGGGCGUAAAGGGUGCGUAGGUGGCGGGGCCAGUCAGGUGUGAAAUCCCGGGGCUUAACCCUGGAACUGCAUUUGAUACUGCCUUGCUGGAGAACUGGAGAGGAGACUGGAAUUUACGGUGUAGCAGUGAAAUGCGUAGAGAUCGUAAGGAAGACCAGUGGCGAAGGCGAGUCUCUGGACAGUUACUGACACUGAGGCACGAAGGCCAGGGGAGCAAACGGG
rnacentral:rRNA from 1 species